rnacentral:rRNA from 1 species
UACGGAGGGUGCAAACGUUGCUCGGAAUCAUUGGGCGUAAAGCGCACGUAGGCGGUCCUUUAAGUCGGGUGUGAAAGCCCUGGGCUCAACCCAGGAAGUGCACUCGAAACUCCCGAGCUGGAGUCCUGGAGAGGAAGGCGGAAUUCUCGGUGUAGAGGUGAAAUUCGUAGAUAUCGAGAGGAACAUCGGUGGCGAAGGCGGCCUUCUGGACAGUGACUGACGCUGAGGUGCGAAAGCGUGGGGAGCAAACAGG